AUUGAACGCUGGCGGCAGGCUUAACACAUGCAAGUCGAACGAGUGGCGGACGGGUGAGUAAUGUCUGGGAAUCUGGCUGAUGGAGGGGGAUAACUACUGGAAACUGUAGCUAAUACCGCGUACCAUAGGAUGAGCCCAAGUGGGAUUAGGUAGUUGGUGGGGUAAUGGCUCACCUAGCCGACGAUCCCUAGCUGGUCUGAGAGGAUGACCAGCCACACUGGGACUGAGACACGGCCCAGACUCCUACGGGAGGCAGCAGUGGGGAAUAUUGCGCAAUGGGGGCAAGCCUGACGCAGCCAUGCCGCGUGAAUGAAGAAGGCCUUCGGGUUGUAAAGUUCUUUCGGUAGGGAGGCGUUACUCACAGAAGAAGCACCGGCUAACUCCGUGCCAGCAGCCGCGGUAAUUC
rnacentral:rRNA from 1 species